UGGGGAAUAUUGCACAAUGGGCGCAAGCCUGAUGCAGCGACGCCGCGUGAGGGAUGACGGCCUUCGGGUUGUAAACCUCUUUCAGUAGGGAAGAAGCGAAAGUGACGGUACCUGCAGAAGAAGCGCCGGCUAACUACGUGCCAGCAGCCGCGGUAAUACGUAGGGCGCAAGCGUUAUCCGGAAUUAUUGGGCGUAAAGAGCUCGUAGGCGGUUUGUCGCGUCUGCCGUGAAAGUCCGGGGCUCAACUCC
rnacentral:rRNA from 2 species